rnacentral:rRNA from 1 species
UCGACGAAGCCUUCGGGCUUAGUGGCGGACGGGUUAGUAACGCGUGGGAACGUGCCUUUCACUACGGAAUAGUCCCGGGAAACUGGGUUUAAUACCGUAUACGCCCUUCGGGGGAAAGAAUUUCGGUGAAAGAUCGGCCCGCGUUAGAUUAGGUAGUUGGUGGGGUAAUGGCCUACCAAGCCUACGAUCUAUAGCUGGUUUUAGAGGAUGAUCAGCAACACUGGGACUGAGACACGGCCCAGACUCCUACGGGAGGCAGCAGUGGGGAAUCUUGGACAAUGGGCGCAAGCCUGAUCCAGCCAUGCCGCGUGAGUGAUGAAGGCCUUAGGGUCGUAAAGCUCUUUCGCCAGGGAUGAUAAUGACAGUACCUGGUAAAGAAACCCCGGCUAACUCCGUGCCAGCAGCCGCGGUAAUACGGAGGGGGUUAGCGUUGUUCGGAAUUACUGGGCGUAAAGCGCGCGUAGGCGGAUUGGAAAGUUGGGGGUGAAAUCCCGGGGCUCAACCCCGGAACGGCCUCCAAAACUCCCAGUCUUGAGUUCGAGAGAGGUGAGUGGAAUUCCGAGUGUAGAGGUGAAAUUCGUAGAUAUUCGGAGGAACACCAGUGGCGAAGGCGGCUCACUGGCUCGAUACUGACGCUGAGGUGCGAAAGUGUGGGGAGCAAACAGGAUUAGAUACCCUGGUAGUCCACACCGUAAA